rnacentral:misc_RNA from 1 species
GAUGAAGAACGUAGCGAAAUGCGAUAACUAAUGUGAAUUGCAGAAAUCAGUGAAUCAUCGAGUCUUUGAACGCACAUUGCGCCCCCUGGUAUUCCGGGGGGCAUGCCUGUCCGAGCGUCAUUGCUGCCCUCAAGCACGGCUUGUGUGUUGGGCUCCGUCCCCCCGGGGACGGGCCCGAAAGGCAGCGGCGGCACCGAGUCCGGUCCUCGAGCGUAUGGGGCUUUGUCACCCGCUCUGUAGGCCCGGCCGGCGCCAGCCGACAACCCAUCAUCCUUUUCAGGUUGACCUCGGAUCAGGUAGGGAUACCCGCUGAACUUAAGCAUAUCAAUAAGCGGAGGA